rnacentral:rRNA from 1 species
CCCUUAGAUGUUCUGGGCCGCACGCGCGCUACACUGAUGCAUUCAACGAGUUUCUUCCUGGUCCGAGAGGAAUGGGUAACCUUUUGAAAGUGCAUCGUGAUAGGGAUAGACUAUUGCAAUUAUUGGUCUUCAACGAGGAAUUCCUAGUAGACGUAGUUCAUCAGACUGCAUCGAUUACGUCCCUGCCCUUUGUACACACCGCCCGUCGCGCCUACCGAUUGAAUGGUCCGGUGAAAUCUUCGGAUUGAGACUUUGAUUUCUUCACGGAAAACGCUGUUUUAAAAAGUUGAUUAAAUCUUACCAUUUAGAGGAAGGUGAAGUCGUAACA